AGUAGAAAAUAAUACUGAUAAAAAUAAUCAGUUCAGAGAUAUUACUAAUAUUACUUCUGAUACUACUACUUCUACUUCUAAUAACACUACAGUAAAAACUGCAUUGGUACAUCAUAAACUUGAUUCGAAUUUCGAACCAAAUAUUAGUGAGAAAGCAUUUGAAAAACGAGUUUUGAGAGAGUUGCACAUUAUCAGUUUGAAAAUUGAUGAUAUUUCUGAAAUUAUUAAUGCUCUACUGAAAGAUAAAGCAGAUAAAUCACAAAAAUCAUUUGUAUGUAAUAAUGUUCCCGAUAUUAUCCAAUCGUUUCCAGUAAAUCAUAAUUCUUUGGCUGAAUUAGAAAAUUGGUUAAUGAGUUCUAACGAGAAUAAAACAAUAUUGGCUCAAAAUUUAAGUCGUAUUGGAGGAUGUACUGUAAAAGAAGUUGUACGAAGGAUAAUGUAUCAUAUUUUUACGAAUGAAGUUGGCAUGUCCUAUUCAUGGGAAGGAGCCAAAAAAAAAGAAAGUUUUCAAAAAUUUAGCUCUGGCACCUAUUAUUCUUUAUAAGUUAAUCAAAUUAUUUUUAUAAAAGCUUUUCUCUUAUUCUCUUAUAUAAUACAUGUUAUAAUUCUCUUAAGAAUAGAGAUUACUAUAGAGUUUUUAUAUCUUUAAUAUCUAUUAGUCACACAUGUGUGUGCGUAAUAAAAAAAUGUCGUAUAAUAUCAUAAAUAUCUUUUAUAUAAAGUAGAUUUUUGUCUCGAGCAUAACAUAUUUUCGAGCAUCAUAACACGUUUCGAGCAUCGUAACACACAUGUUUUGAUAUCCUUUAUUUAUCGGCACAUAUUUAUAUCUCAUAUUUAGCAUUAAUAUAUGUGGCUCUAAUUUUAAUUCAAGUUUAGUUUAUAUAAAAAUUCAGUUAAUAU